rnacentral:tRNA from 1 species
GGGCGGUUAGCUCAGGGGUGAGAGCGCCUGUCUUACACACAGGAGGUCAGAGGUUCAAAUCCUCUACCGCCCA